GCUGGGCGUGGUGGCUCAUGCCUGUAAUCUCAGCACUUUGGGAGGCUGAGGCGGGUGGAUCACCUGAGGUCAGGAGUUCGAGACCAGCCUGACCAACAUGGUGAAACCCCGUCUCUA
rfam:Pan troglodytes isolate Yerkes chimp pedigree #C0471 (Clint) chromosome 2B, whole genome shotgun sequence.